UCUCUGGUAGUAUAGUGGUGAGUAUCCGCGCCUGUCACGUGCGAGACCGGGGUUCGAUUCCCCGCCAGAGAG
rnacentral:tRNA from 5 species